UCCACGCCCUAAACGAUGCACACUAGUUGUUGCUAUGCUAGACAUAGCAGUAAUGCAGUUAACACAGUAAGUGUGCCGCCUGGGGAGUACGGUCGCAAGAUUAAAACUCAAAGGAAUAGACGGGGACCCGCACAAGCGGUGGAGCAUGUGGUUUAAUUCGACUAUACGCGAAGAACCUUACCUGGCCUUGACAUAGAAAGAAUCUUUUAGAGAUAGAAGAGUGCUAGUUUAC
rnacentral:rRNA from 1 species